rnacentral:lncRNA from 1 species
CUACUACAUCAAUCAGACCACAAGGUGCCCUUUCAGGAAAGUAAUGGAGUAUAAUCAACCUAACUUCAUUGAUCUACAAGGACUACUGAAAAUUAUAAAACUUUCUUUGGGAUUCUAACAUGCCAGAAACCACUAGAAAAAGAAGUUUGAUAUCUCAGAGGUUCUCCUCAUCGUGGUAUAGAGACCAAAAUGAUACUUUCAAAAAGCCUGACAGGUUUCUCCGGAAAAGUGACCAUCCAUGGAAUGAAUGAAAUGUUCCCUUUCUAUUCCAGUGUUGCUUACUCUUUAGCCUGGAAAGAAAAGGGGCUUAACCUGUGAUUAAAUUUAAAGUCAAUUGACCUCAACAUGAGAGUACAUAAUUCUCACUUGCCUAUGGAAUGGCCUGAGUCUGUUUUAACCCCGAUUCUGGCACCUGUGUUUUUAAUGUUUGGAGUAGCUAAAGCUAGAGUUGCUCGUUUGGUUAGAAAUAAAGUGGGUGGAGAACAGUUCUAAGCAAAUAACAAAUGAUGGUCAGCCGACUAAGUCUUUAAUCCAGCGCUCAAUGUGUUCUUUUCUUUUAAUGCAUUAAUUGUAAGUUCGUGUAAAUUAUUAUUCAAACUUUUUUUAAAAAAUAUGGAUUCAUGGGCAACCAUUUUAUUACUAAGGAUACAGAGUAAAUCUAAAUCUGUGAAUUACUAACAAGCAAAGGAUGUGAGAAUGAUGACACUUUCAAAUGCUUAAGUUUGCUUAUGUAACCUAUCACAGGCUUUUUAAAUAAGCCUUGCACUUUAAAGAUUUUCUUAGCCCUAGGAAUGAAAUAGCAAUAUUGUUUUUCCAGGUUUCUGUAAAUUAACAAAAGACUGUUUACUUUUAGCAAGAUGACCUUGUUUGAGUUUUGGAGACAAACAUAUAUCUACUUCUCAAAAGCAAAAUAAAAAUCAAUGACAUCUAAAAUUACCAUUUACACUUGAAGCUAUUCUCCAUGCAUUUUAUGUAAAAUGACUGCAUGCUAAGAAUAAGUCUAUAAGGUGAGAACAGCCUAGACUGUUGUUUUUUCUUUCUCAUUUCCUUUUUAACCUGAGAAUUAGAAGAAAGUACUGAUGAUGCUUGCUUAACCCUGCUUUUAGUGCCAGGCUGUGACCAGCUCUCUGUGAAACCAUUUCUGACCCUCUGCUUGCAGUGGUGAACAUGAAUUUUUCCCCUUCCUUGCCCAUCACUGUCAGUCAAUUAUAGGAUUGAACUGAACCAGAAAAUCUGGUACAGUCUGGUAAUUAGUACAAAGGGUUUCCAGUCUAGUGUAAAGACGGGGAUGCAAGAGCCCCAGCAGUCACAGAAAUCGUUUUGAUUGGCCAUGGACAUUGCCUUUUAGUGCUGCUCGGUGACUUCCUAAAGAUAUUGCCUCCUACCCUACAGGUUUUCUCCUUCAAGUACAUUAUGGACCUUUUCAAAAGUCAUGUGUGUGUGUGUGUGUGUGUGUGUGCGCGUGUGCGUGCGUGCGUGCAUGUGUGUGUGUGUGUGUGUGUGUGUGUGUGUAUACGUUUCUUUUUUUAGAUCCAACUUCUCCCAUUUUUAGUCUGUCAUUUUUGCCUAUCAAACAGACACAUUUUGACUUGCCCAACAAAGAACCAAGUUAUCAACACUCACAGAAACUGACAUUUUUAAUUCAGGCUUCAUUAUGUCUUUGAAUUAUGACAGUGAAGUACAAAGACGUUUUAAGAGUUUUUUCAUUAUUUUUUUAAAUCCAGCAUUGGGAUGUUUAUCUUUCUUUAGUAUUCAUAUUUCCUUUUCUAUCUUUAUUCUCAGUAAUAUAUAAUUAGCAUUAUCAAAACCAUCAGCUAUUAUCCUUUAUGACUUUUGACCUUUAUUUUUUAAUAUGUCUCAAGCUAGCAUUCUCUAAAACAAAAAUUCUAUGAGAGAUAUUAACGAAAUAUUUUAGGGUUAUAAAAACAAUGAAAUGAUUUAAAACAUGAAUCUUUUUAAAUAUCAACAUUACAUGAAUAGGCAAGUAACACAUUAUAUGAUAAAACUAUAGUGACAAAAUAAAUUUCAGAAAAAAAUUAUUCUGUAAAUCAAGCUUGCAUUUGGUGGUAAGUGUAACUUUAUAGUCUGUAGUUCAUCACACAUUUUUAACCACUACUAUGGAGUUAUUGGCUUAAUGUCAAUGGUAUUUAUAUACUUUUUGCAGAAAAAGUAAUUUUUUGUACUAAUUACCAGACUGUACCAGAUUUUUUGCAAACAUCCUCUUUGACUAUAGAUUACAAAAACUCAGUAGUCACACAUUAGAUACAACAAAAGUGUUUGGUAGCUUGUCAUUUUAACAAAUGCUGGCCUUCAAAAGAUAGAUAUAAGUACAUCUAAGGGCAAAUUUAAUGUCUGACACUCUGUGCAAAACUGCAAAAGCAACAGUGCCCAAAAUAACAGAAGCAAAAGAAAGCACAAGGUUUUCCAUUUCCAAGAAUGCUAUUCUAGCACAAUCUGCAUCAUGAUUUUAGUCAUGAUGCAUAUGUGCUGUGAAUCUUUUAAAGGAUCAUUUAUUUACCCACAUCUUAAUGUAGCUUUAAAUAUCUGUUUUAUCCUACAUACAAUCUUAACAAAAGUAGUUAUGUUACCAUGUCUGGUACUUAUUUCUACAUGUCUGAAUUUUGCUAUUAAAUUUCAAGAAGGUUAAUAUUGCUUUUGUAACCCUGUCAUGAGUAAUGCAUUUUCCCAGUAAACAUGUCAUACUUUUAAAAGCUGUUCAAGAAGCAGUAUUUCUGUUGAAAGUUUUGUGUUUAUUUCUCUAUUGUUUUUUUAACCAUAAUAUAGUGUAAUGCUUUGAAAAGAAUACGCAUAUUUAUGUAAUUAACAUUUUUUGUUUUCAGCAAAACCUUGCCCAUUAAAAACGAGAAGAGUCUUAGAAAACCAUAUAAAUGGGCAACGUUUCAGUGACAAUAUUUGCAUUCAAUUUUAAUUCACCACCGAGUCUAUAUCUUGAAAUGUAUCUAUAAAGGACUGAAGGAAGAGUACAUUCUGAUAAUAGUUUUAUUUUUUAAUCUAAAAUAUAUGUUGAAAUUCCAAAGGUGCUUGCCACAUGUGGUAUGGCAGUAUUCUAUGUUCCAUUAUAUCUGAAUGCUUUGUGGGUCUGUAUAAUAUUACAGGCUUUAAUAUGGAUAUAAACAUUCUUUUCUACCUCAGCCUUACUCCUAGUGGCAGGAGUAAGGCUUGGGAAAAACUCUAAAGAUUAUCCAGUCUCAUGAUUUUCAAACUGUGUUCCCUUGAGCUCUUAGGCUCUUUGGGGCUACUUAGGGCUGUGGGGGAAGGGAGACCAAUUGGCCUCUUACCUCCUGCCUUUAUCUGCUGUGUCUAUUAGAGCCCCACGUAAAAUUGGAAUCCCAUGAUGGAGGGAAAAAGUAAAAUACUAUUGACUGAGCCUCUCUUACAGAUAAGGAAAGCAGAGUUUACUUAAAGUGGCACUCUGAAUCAGUGACAACCAACCACUUGUCCCUUAGUCUUAAACCUACUAAACUGCAAUAAACUUUUCCUACACAGUUAUGGGUCUUUUUGUAUUGUCAUCCUAAACAGCAUUACUAAAAACACACACUAAGAUAUCUAUAGCCCAGUGUUCAAAAUCAAGAUAUUUACUGAGGAUACAAUAUCAAGGUAGGUAAUGCAAUUGAGUAAAAUGUUGCAGACCAAAAUCAAGCCCUCUAUUUGGCAAUACAUUAAAUUUGGUGCAUUACUGUAGACUUUAUGUAAAAUAUUGAUUCAUUUAUUACUUAGUAAUAUUUUGUAUUUUUAAAUUUUCAAUUGUGGUUGAAAAAAACACAUCUAAACCAUUUUUUUAAGUGUAAAGUUCAAUACUUAACUAUAUUCACAUUUUUGUACCUGGGGGUAUCUUGCAUGGUGGGAAAAAUUAAUUAAUUAAGACAAAUUCAAAAGAAAAAGAAUUAAAGAAAGUAAAGCUGAAUUAAGAUGCUACUUUUCUCAAAGCAUGUAUUAUGGAAACAUGUUUUAUGGAAACUAUUCCUAUAAGAUGUGCAAAGUAAAAGAGUGACAUGGUCAAAUAAUCUUUGGAAAUAUAGCAUGUUAUGUCCCUUUAUAAGAAAUUUAUAGACUUGUAUUUUAAAAACUCUGAGAAAUCAUAUUGGAAAGAUCUCUUUGAACUAUGUAUACUAGAGUUUCCUAAACAAUUUUUCCAUAGACUUUCCUCACCUAUUUCACAUAAAAAAUCUAUUUUUAUUCUUCAGGGCUAAUGUUUUAUUGAAUACAUUUUGGGAAACUUUCCUCUAACAGCACUUUUGCACAUUAAAAAAAAAAAGAUCUGUAAGGUACUAUUUAAGUUAUUUAUGUUAAAUGGUUCUGAAUUUACCAAUCCUUCAUCCUCAUUUUGUGGAUAUUAAUGGACAUCCAUUAAUUCAAUCACCCAGCAGAUAUUUACGGACAGUGCUAAAUGCUAGGAAAUACAGUAAUGAGUAAAUCAAUCUUAUCUUAUAGAGCUUAACGUCCAGGGGAAAAAAAUCACAAAGAGAGAGGGAGAG